GAUGAACGCUGGCGGCGUGCUUAACACAUGCAAGUCGAACGGGAAUUACUUUAUUGAAACUUCGGUCGAUUUAAUUUAAUUCUAGUGGCGGACGGGUGAGUAACGCGUGGGUAACCUGCCUUAUACAGGGGGAUAACAGUCAGAAAUGGCUGCUAAUACCGCAUAAGCGCACAGAGCUGCAUGGCUCAGUGUGAAAAACUCCGGUGGUAUAAGAUGGACCCGCGUUGGAUUAGCUGGUUGGUGGGGUAACGGCCCGACCAAGGCGACGAUCCAUAGCCGGCCUGAGAGGGUGAACGGCCACAUUGGGACUGAGACACGGCCCAGACUCCUACGGGAGGCAGCAGUGGGGAAUAUUGCACAAUGGGGGAAACCCUGAUGCAGCGACGCCGCGUGAAGGAAGAAGUAUCUCGGUAUGUAAACUUCUAUCAGCAGGGAAGAUAGUGACGGUACCUGACUAAGAAGCCCCGGCUAACUACGUGCCAGCAGCCGCGGUAAUGUCUGU
rnacentral:rRNA from 1 species